UACGUAGGGUGCGAGCGUUGUCCGGAUUUAUUGGGCGUAAAGAGCUCGUAGGCGGCUUGUCGCGUCGACUGUGAAAUCCCGAGGCUCAACUUCGGGCUUGCAGUCGAUACGGGCAGGCUAGAGUUCGGUAGGGGAGACUGGAAUUCCUGGUGUAGCGGUGAAAUGCGCAGAUAUCAGGAGGAACACCGAUGGCGAAGGCAGGUCUCUGGGCCACUACUGACGCUGAGAAGCGAAAGCAUGGGGAGCGAACAGG
rnacentral:rRNA from 1 species